AACGAACGCUGGCGGCAUGCCUAACACAUGCAAGUCGAACGCUCUUGAGGCUUCGGUUUCAAGGGAGUGGCGCACGGGUGAGUAGCGCGUGGGAACCUGUCCUGUUGUGGGGGAUAACCGAGGGAAACUUCGGCUAAUACCGCAUGCGCCCCUGGGGGAGACUCUGGGGGGAAAGAUUUAUCGCAGCAGGAGGGGCCCGCGUCGGAUUAGCUUGUUGGCGGGGUAACGGCCCACCAAGGCUAUGAUCCGUAGCUGGUCUGAGAGGAUGAU
rnacentral:rRNA from 1 species